rnacentral:rRNA from 1 species
UGAACGCAGCGACAGGCCUAACACAUGCAAGGUCGAGGGGCAACGGGGCGUAGCAAUACGCUGCCGGCGACCGGCGGAUGGGUGAGUAACGCGUAUGCAACCUGCCUUCAGCAGGGGAUAGCCCGUUGAAAGACGGAUUAAUACCCCAUAACACAGGGGCUCCGCAUGGAGAUUAUGUUAAAGGGAUGCUUCCUUCGGGGGUAUUCCGGCUGAAGAUGGGCAUGCGUUCCAUUAGGUAGUUGGUUGAGGUAACGGCUCACCAAGCCUGCGAUGGAUAGGGGAACUGAGAGGUUGGUCCCCCACACUGGUACUGAGACACGGACCAGACUCCUACGGGAGGCAGCAGUGAGGAAUCUUGGUCAAUGGACGGAAGUCUGAACCAGCCAUGUCGCGUGAAGGAGGACGGCCCUAAGGGUUGUAAACUUCUUUUGCGGCGGAAUAAAGUAUUCCACGUGAUGGGAUAUUGCAAGUACGCUGCGAAUAAGGAUCGGCUAACUCCGUG